rnacentral:lncRNA from 1 species
AAAAUAGCUAUUUUUAUUAUCUUUAACUAUAGUAAAAUUUUAUCUCCGAUUUAAUUUGAGAUGACUUAACGGCAAUAAUAUUUUUAAAUAAUAGAAAAAUAUAUGCAGAAUAUAUUUGAAAUAAAAAUUAGACUAAAAUACUAUUAAUAGCACUAAGCUAUUGGUACUAUUAGUUUUUUAAUCCUUUGAUUGAGAAAUGUGCGGUUAAGAUGAUAUGGGCUUCCUAGGGUUGAGUGGGUGGUUGAUUGAAUAGUAUAAUCUAACGGAUAAAAAUAAUCAAAGGGUUAAAUUUAACAGUGGAAAACUCGAUAACACAAGUUUUUGGUGCUAUCGAUAGUAUCCCAGCCGGACUCCUUAAAACAAAAAAAGUAUAGAGAUAAAUAAGAUACUUCAGAAGUUUUGAGGGGUAUCCCUUUAUUACAAAUAGUCACAGACUGUUCAGACUAAUUCGAAAUUUAAGUUCAAUGCAUGAUAACUUCAUAUAUAUAUAUAUAUAUAGGGUUGAGUGUGGUUUGUUGAAUAGUAUGAUCUAACGGGUGAAAAUGAUCAAAAGGGUAGAUCCAACUGCUUCGUGCUAUUAAUAGCAUAGUAGCCAAACUCUAUAUAUAUAUAUAUAUAUAUAUAUAUAUAUAUAUAUAUAUAUAUAUAUAUAAACGAAGCGGAUAACGUACUAAUAUUUUUUCUGUGUAAAAAUAAAAAUGAAACCACUAGUGGUUUCGGUGAUUAGGUGUAAGAGAGAGAGAUAUCAGUUUUGAGAUCUCAAAAAUUUAAGGUCUAAUUUAUUUAAAGGCUCUUUGAAGGUAAAAUUUAAAUUAGUUGCUUAUUUUACUAAAUUUAUAAUUAUAUAAAAUACGUAAAAUAUACUAACUGAAUCCGUAAAGAUAAACGAUCUAUUUAAGUUUGGAAGUUAAAGAGUCACUAAUAUGACUCAAAUCAAAUAAAUUAAAACAUCAAAUAAUAAAAUUAAAAUUUUUAAAUGUUAGGCAAUCAAAUCCAUAUAGGUGAUAAUUGAAGUAAAUUUUGUAUAUUUUUAUCUUCAAUGAAUUAGAUGAAGUCUGGGCAAGCAAGUCGAAUUUAAUUUUCUAAAUUUAUUUUCAAACUUCAAAUUUUUAUGUUAACUUAGUUUAUCCCUAGAGCAAGUGGCAAAGGGCUUGGUGGUUGGUACCCGAAACCCAAGUUCGAAUCCUAAUUGAUUCACAUUUCUAGCUAAGUUUAUUUCUAAAUCAAAUAAACGAAGCAGGUAGCGUGCUACCUAUCUCUCUCAAAAAAAUAAAAAAAAUAAAAAAAAAAACUUAGUUUAAUGAACUAGACUAAGCCUGACCUAACUUAACCGAAUCUAUUAGAAACCAAACCAAAGAGAUCGAACUAGAUUUUUCACUACAACAAAAUUAGAUUAUAGGGACACAUGUUUGGGACACUUUUGUGUAAGUAUCCUAUUUAUACCAAAACUUUUAAAAAAAUCUACUAAUGCCUAAAUAUAAAGUCCAAUCCAACCAAAAAUAAAAGGUUACUCUAGCUCACCCCACCCCACCCAGCCUAUUCGGCCCGAUUACAAACAGAAAAGAAAAAGAAAAAAAAAUCGAUUACCAUUUUCCCUUCUCUCUUUACUCAAUUGACUGAAAUCCUAAACGAAGAUCCUUUCCUCUCGUCCUCCUUCGCCACCGCAACCAAUGAGGUAGAGUUUCGGCGGUUGCUAAAUGGUUAAAUAAGUAUUGGUAAAUUAGCAGCACUCUUUUUAGGUUAUAACGAUACUCUUUAACUGUCACUGUAUACCUAGCGACCCCACAUAUAGAAACACAUUUUAAAAGUGUCAGUAAUUUAGCCAGCAACACUUUUUUUGACCUGUACCGACAUUUAAAAGUGUCGUUAUAGACCGUUUUUGUUGUAGUGUUUUUAGGUUUAUUUGUGUGUGAGAGAGAGAGAAAGAUUUUCAUAACUUAAUUUGAUCCAAGUUCCCUUAACUUCAAAUCGAAUGAAUCGAUCUUAAUUUUCUAAAUCUAACUAUUUGUAGAUUGUCGGAUCAUUGGCGCUAACCAUUAAUUCCAAAAGCUCGAGCUGUUAAAAAUACGCAACAAAUUCACUUAAAACAUACAGAUACAGCGAGAAAGAGAGAGAUUUAGACCUUACAUUUUGACACUGAAUUUUUUUAGUAAAUUAGAAUGAAAUCUGACCCGACCGAAUUUGGCCUAUAAAAAAUCAAAUUGAAUUAAAAUAUAUAUCAUAAUGUUAGGUCUAUGUGUAUAUAUAGAACUAGACUGGGAUACUAUCAAUAGCACGAAGCUAUUGGUACUAUUAGGUUUUUAGCCCUUGGAUUGAAAAAUGUGCUGUUCGAAUGAUGUGGGCCCUCUAGGGUUGAGUGAGUGGUUGGUUGAAUAAUAUAAUCCAACGGAUAAAAAUAAUCAAAGGAUUAAAUUUAAUGGUGGAAAACUCGAUAGCACCAAAUCUUUGGUGCUAUCGGAUAGUAUCCCAACCAAACUCUAUUUAUAUAUAUAUAUAUAUAUAUAUAUAUAUAUUAGAGAGAGAGAUGAGAAGAUGAAGGAGGAGAGAGAAGAGAGACGGAGAGACGAUGAUGAGAGAAGAGGAGAGAGAGAUUAUUAAUAGACUUUGGCUCUAUUUCUUGAUUAUUAAUAGCUUUUGGAUCAAAUACUAUUCUACCUACCAUCACCUACCAUCAUCAUUCCAAUUCUAUAUUUCUUCAUCCAAAAGUUAAAAACUUAAAAGCACCACCUCUUUAGUACUUUUGGAAGUAUUCUACCUCAACUCUCCCUCCUUCUCUCUCUCUCUCUUUAUAUAUAUAUAUAUAUAGAGAGAGAGAGAGAGAGAGAGAGUCCAGCUGCUAUGCUAUCGAUAGCACUAAACACUUGGUGCUACCAAGUUUUCUGCCGUUAAAUUAACCCCUAUAAUUAUUUUUACCCGUUAGAUUAUACUAUUCAAUCAACUACCCACUCAACUCUAGGGAACCCACAUCAUUCUAACUGCAUAUUUCUUAAUCCAAAAACUAAAAAACUAAUAGUAUUAAUAACUUUGUGCUAUUGAUAGUAUUCCAAUCUAAUUAUAUAUAUAUAAAAGAGACAGAGACAUAUGUGGUUGUUGGUACAAAGGACAAAAGAGCAGAGGGAAUGUUUUAUGGCCCAAGGUCCCAACUAAAUAAUAAUAUUAUUAUUAAUAGUGUUAUUAAUUCAACCCCCAACAAGACAAAGAAGCUUCUUCCACAAACACUAUUCUAUGGACAUACAGCAACAUCCCUUCACACCACAAACAAUUAAUGGGCCCCCACAAUAACGAGGUUGCCUUUAUUUUUUUUUUUAAAAAAAAAAACUUUAAAUACUCUAUGUGAUUUAGCACGUCCUUAUUUUAAUAUUUUAUAGUUUAAAAAAUAUUUCUUUAUUAUCCGAUGGUUUUAUUUUUUUUUUUCCACCCACCUCUCCGUUAACUUCUCAUUUAUAACAUAUAAAAAAAAUUCAGAUACUAUCCUAGUAUUUACUGAUUUUUUAUUUUAAUAUUCUAUAAUUUUUAUUUCUUUAUCGGUUUAACAAAAAGAAUAAUAAAAAAAUAUUAUAGAAUACUAAAGUGAUAUAUUUUAAAAUAUAAAAUACUAAAAUCAAUUGUGGGGCCCACAUGUCGGGAUAGUCCCUAUACUAUAUUUAUAUUCAACUUACGUUGCUGUACUACUCAAUGAAACAUUCCCUGCUUUCAUAAAUACCACAAUUUAUUAUUUGAAACUCUUUAUAUUUCUAGGUGGUUUUUAUAAUAAAGUUUUUGAAUUAAUAAUUAAUAUAGUUAAAUAUAAUUUAAAGUAUUUAAAAUUUUUUAAAAUAAAAUUUUACAAGUUUUGAAUAUAAUUGUUUAGCGUAUCGAGAGGUUACAAUCUCAACGGUUCCAAUUAAGAAACCUCAAAAAAUAAAAAAUAAGAUUUUUUUUUAAUUCAAUUGCUGUCUUUUUUUUUUUGGUCUAAAUAAUUAGAAGAAAAUAAAAGUUCAGCUUAUUUAGAUUGUUCUGCGACACUAAAUAGUGUCUUAUUUUGAGAUAUUUUAUUCGUAAUACAGAUCAAUACAAAAUUAUAAAAAUUUAUAUUUUAGAUAUUUCAAAUAGUUUUAAUCAUCUUAAUUAUAUAGAACAUAAUUGGGACAUCCUUAUAGCUAAAAUAAUUAAUAAGUGUGAAUAUGUUAAAAAUAUAGAAUUACAGUAAUAUUAUAAGAAAAAUAAGUUUUUUCUUUUUGUAGUUGGACUAAAAUACAAUAAUAUGAAAGCUCAAAAAUUGCAAUAGUGUGAGGAAAAAAUAUAUAUAUAUAUAUACCAGCUCAAUUGUAGGUCUUUCUGAAUUUUUUAAUUUAACUGAGACCUCUCAAAUUCUAAUUUUUCAAAAUUGAGUAAUUUUAAUCUAUAAAUUUAAAUUUUUUAUUAAAUUUAUUAGUAUUUUUUAUAAAUUUAAUAAAUUUAAUUAAAUUUUAGUAAAUAAAAGUAUGCUAAUUAAUAAUUGAUAACUAAUAGAAUUAUUACAAAUUUUAUAAAACUCCAAUUAAAAAUUGGAAGGCCCUAAUUAAAAAAAGAACGCUUUGUAAUAUNGUUGCUUAUAAAUUAUUGGAUAAUAAAAAUCAAUUUUUAUAUGCUGAUAACAAAUAUUGCCUAUAUUAAAUUUUAUUCUGAAAACAACAUGCGAUGUGUGCGGAUAUGUGAUGGGGUGUUGGGGUAGACAAAGAAUAUGGAUAAGAUGGAAAGGUGGAAAAAGUCCUUGUUAUCCCUUUUUUUGGCCAAUUUGCAUAAAAAAUUCACUUAUUUUGGACUUUUGUAAAAACGGACCACCUUUUUCAUUUUUGCAAAUUCGGUCCGAAUUUUCAGCAAACUGACCAAAAUACCCAUAUUAUUUUUUCUCUUUCCUAUUUCUCUCUCCUCUUCGUUUUUCUCGUUCUUUUUUUUUUUCUCUCGCCGAAAAAAGUAGUGAAGGUAGAGGCGGAGGCAGAAAUGGUCCGUCUCGCCUCUCACCCUCAUGCUCUCGCCCUUGCCCUUGCCCUCGCCCUCGCCCUCGCCCUCACCCACGCAUCCCCCACCUUCCUUGCCUCCGAUCCUGCCCAGGCCGUGCCACGACUUUUUUUUUUUUCUUUUCUUCUCCGACUCUCCUCCACCGUCUCCGACGACGACGUCUCUCUCGCCCUUCCCCGCACUUCUCGUCCCCGGCUCCGAGGCUGCAGCGCCGUAGUGACCUCCACGGUGUCGACGUCGGCGCCAGCGAAGAUGCAUGUCGUCGAAGGCGGCAGAGAAGGAGGGAGAAGGAGAGACGAGAAAUUGCGGGAGUGAAAGAGGAGAGAGAAAAAAAUUAUUUUCUCUCUCCUAAUAACAUAUUAACAUAUAAUUAUUAUUAUCAAACUAUCUUUUCUUUCUUAAUUUUUGAAAAUAAAUUUUUUUUUUCUAAAGAAGGUUAGGUUGAAAUUUCUUUUUUUUUCUAGGUUAGACGCGGCAUUGACUCGAAAAAAACGUGGAGACAAUAUGAUUGUUUGUUGUACCAAACACUGUUCAUAAUGUUCUACGAACACUAGUUUUGUUUUUAAAAAAAUAAUUAUUAGUAUUAAGAAGAUAUUUGGUAUCACCUAAAUACAACUACUUUAUUUUUCAUAACUGUAUAAAAAUUUAAAUUUGACAUUUAUUUUAAUAUAUUUAAAUUCAAUUGUUAUAGUUGUAAUUGUGCGAAGAAGUUCAAUUGCGGCGCGCGACAGAAAUUAUCCGCAAAUUGAUCAUAACUCUAGCUAUAAUAUUUGAAAAGAAUAAUUUUAAAUAAAAAUAAAUUUAUCUUCCUAAUAAAAUUUUAAAUAAUUUUUUUUUUUGUAAAGAAAGAAUACUCUCACUAUUUUACCCUCCCCUCCCCUUCCCUCCCUCUCCCUCUAGUACCUUCUCCUAGCCUCUGCCGCCCCUCCCCCGCCGCAUCGCCAGCGCCCGGACCGCCAACACCGUCCGCCUCGGCUGCUUCACCUGCCUCUCCGGCGCCCGCCGCUCCUCCACUCUCUCCACCUCCUUAACCAACUCCACCGGGACGCGGCCCUCACCGUGGUGGUGAUGGCUAUGUGGCAGGCAACGGCGGAGGCGUCCGCCGCCGCCGCCACCGCCGCCACCGCCACCACCUCUAAAACUCGAUCUCCAGCGGUAUCAAACCAAAAAGGUCAUUCAUGCAUCCUCCAACACCAACAAAACCAAAACUAUAAUACUUCCACGUGAGUAGUUGAAUACGGAGCACAUGAGUCAAGCAAUUAAUGAAAUCCCGGCAAACCAAGGCACAUGAAUAUUUAUGUUAUAUAAAUCUCUACGUAUACUAAUCUAUAUACUAUUAAUAUAUAAAAUAAUACAUUCUACGUAAUUUUUUACAACGUCCAUAUAUAUAUAUAUAAACUCUUCAUAUAAAUUAAUAUUUGAAAGUAAUAAAAUGUAUNGCGGAGUGAUAGUGCUUGUGACAGGGCAUCUUACUGGGAAGGACAAUGUGAAGAGGGACUUCACACAGUCCUUCUUCCUCGCCCCCCAGGAAAAGGGAUUCUUUGUCCUGAAUGAUAUAUUCCGCUAUGUCCCAGAGGCUGGCGAGGGCGAGGGCAAGGGUGAGGACGAGAGCAUGAGGGUGAGAGGUAAGGCGGACCAUUUCCGCCUUCGCCUCUACCUUCACUACUUUUUUCGGCGAGAGAAAAAAAGAAAGAACGAGAGAAACGAAGAGGAGAGAGAAAGAGGAGAGAGAAAAAAUAAUAUGGGUAUUUUGGUCAGUUUGCUGAAAAUUGGGACCGAAUCUGCAAAAAUGAAAAAGGUAGCCCGAUUUUGCAAAAGCCCAAAAUAAGUGGAUUUUUUAUGCAAAUUGGCCCUUUUUUAUGACUUUUAUUUUAUCAGAUGAAAUGUUUAUAAAAUAAGAUCUCAUUUUUUUGAAAAUGUAAAAUACGAUCAAUAUCUUUUAAUCAAACUAUUGCAAUUGGAUUUGUUUACAUUGGUCGGUUCUAAUUCAGCCCGAUCUAAGAAGGCGAGAUAUGUGUGGGAGAAGACGAGAUACAUGGAAGAUCGAAAGUAUCAAGAAAAGAAGAUUCAAAAACACUAAUAAAUAAUUAACUCGAUCUGAUUUUAAUUUCUGAAUACGUUUUUCGCUGCCCUCCGAUUCCAACUCAAACAAUCAUAAAACUAUAAUUCCUAAAAAUUUUACUUUUUAUUUUUUUACUUUUCAUCUACCAAACAUGCCUUAAGUGAAAAUGUUGCCCU